rnacentral:lncRNA from 1 species
CGGCGGACGCGUGCUUCCGGCGCGCGUCGCGCGUGUCGCGCGUGCUGCGCGCGCUGGCCGCCGGCGACGCCGCACACGUCGUGGUGACGGUGCUGUCAGAGAUGCAGACGUGCCGCCUGCAGUGGCAGCAGCCGAACUGUCCUCCUCCCACGGACCUGCUGCCUGCGCUUCUGGACCUGCACAAACGGACAUUCACGCAAUAUCUCCCGGCAUGCGCGGACGCGGCCGCGCGCGGCGCGCUGCUGGAGACGGCGCUGCAGCUGAGCGAGCUGCUGCUGGCGGCGG